AAGGGCUAUGGUAAACACCAACAACAAGUUCGAUGGUAUAUUGAAUACAAAAAAAAGAAAAGGGACCAAAUGAGUACAAACGCAAAAGUUAAUUACCCUCAAGAGUCAUUUUCCCUAAAUCCACAACCAAAUUAAGCUAAAAGAACCAAACCUACAAUUGUAAACUCCUUGACUAUAACCAAAGAAAUCAAAAAACCAUAGAGGUCUUUUAUUUAUUAGUUAUUUAUUAUUAUUAUUUUUUUUUACAAAUUUCUCUUUAUUUUUUAAAAUGUUAUCUUUUAAGAUAUUUAUAAAGUAACCACAAAUAAUCAUUAUUGUGAUUUUAAAGGAAAUGACCCAACUUUUUUGGAUUUAUCAAUUUGACCUUUGUGUCUAAAUAUUGGAUUUUUUUUUACUAAAUCAGUUUUAUUUCAGGUUGAGAUGUGACGUAAAAAAUUACAAAAUCUAAUAUAAUUUUCGUACAUUUUAGACUAAAUUUCUUUUAUUUAUUUAUUUAUUUUGAUAUUUGUACAUUUUGAACUCAGUCCUAAGCCAAAAAUUUUAAAUCCAAAAUUUGAAUAAUAGUUAUGAGACAUGAUAUUUUGGACUCUGAAAUGCUACAUUUUUACUUAAAUCUAACAAAAAAACCCUACCAAAACAUACAUUGAUUUCGAUAUAAGGGCAUAAAAAUGACAUUUAUUUGAUAAAUCAAUAUUAAUAAAUAUUUUAGAUUUAAGGAUGGAAGAGAACUAUUUAUAAAUGUUUAGAGGGUGUUUGAGAUUGCUUUUGAAAAAACACUUUUGGUUUUUUGGAAAAGCUAAAAGUAAAAAAGAUGUUUGGUAACUUAAGAACAUUUUUAGAUCAACUUUUUAUGAAUUUUGACAAGAACAAAAAUGGGCUGUUUCAAAAGUCAUAAAUUAGUGACUUUUUGUGAUUUUUGGGAUUUUAGCCUUUAACUUUUCAAAAGAUAAACCAAACACAUUUUAAAAUCAUUUUUUAUAAAAAGCCAAAAGUCAAAUUUUUUUUUUAUAUAAAAUGACUUUUUAGCCUAAAAAGCAACCCCAAACACCCCAUUAGUACAAAUUAGAGCAAACCACGUAUUAUAUAUACUUCGGAAAUCUAAAAGGACCUCGUUUUUUUAAAUAUUUCUAUAUUUUAGAAACAAAAAUGUUUAGUACAAAUACAUGGUGAUUUUUUUAAAUAUUUCUAUAUUUUAGAAACAAAAAUGUAAAUAUAUUAGUGAAAUAGUUGAGGGUAGAGGCGUUUCGUUUGUCAAGUACUUAUAUCUUGAAGGUGCAAGUUGUAAAUAAAUAUACAAAAAUAAGAUGGAACAGCUACAAAGAGAUAUUUUACUUGGCCCACAUAAUGGGAGGAUAAGGUCGGACUCAAGAAUCAACAUCCAAAGCAAAAGUCGAACAAAACAGUGGUGAGAGUAUCAUGAUUCGAUUUGGCUAAAAUUUGAUGAUGAUUUCGGUGAAAUUUUAAGUUCCCUGCAGCGAUGAUUGAACUACCAAUUCUGUAUAUUUUCUGCUUUGAUGUCAAUCAAGCUAAAAAAUCGUUUACUUCAGAAUCAAUUCCCUUGCAGCCAUACUGAGCUACCAAAAUUGGAAAUUCUUAAUGUGACAUCAAAUGCUAACCUCAAGGGUUCUUUUCCUGAAUUUUGUAACAACCCACUUGAACAUGUGAAUUUAAACUUAGACACGUUUCUUUGGGAUUGUACUGAAAUCUAUAAGCAACCUAAAACAUAUAUAGGAUAUUAUUGGUCCUUACACAAAGCUCUUUCAGACACAAUAUAUGCUUCUAUAAAUAAAUACAUUCAUCAUCAUGCCAUGAAAGUCAUUUUGUCUCAUAUUCAAAACCAACAACGAAUUGCUUAAGCUGCCGAAACAGAAGGAAGGGUUCCACUCAUAUUAGAAGACAAAUCCAAUACUCAAAGAUCGAUUUCACUUCACAUAUCAUUGGGUGUUGUUUAUCCUGUCAGCUAUUGGUACCUUUUACCUUGUACAUACAUUUCAAAUGGCUUAGGUUGCUUAUGGAUUCUGGUACAACACCAAAGAAACUUGUGUAAGCUAGAUCCACAUGUUCAAGUAAGUUGUUAUGGAAUUUAAGAAAGGAACCAAUGAGGUUGGUAUUAGAUAUCUCAUCAAGAAUUUUCAACUUUGGUAGCUCAAGUAUGGCUGCAGGGAAUUCAUUCUGAAGCAAAAUGUUUAGCUUGAUUGAUCUCAAAGUGAAAAACUCAUACGAAAGGAUUGGCCAAAAAACAAGGUACAGUUUGUACGGCAGGAUUGACAAAGAAAUGAGGUACAAUUUGAGAUUAUAGGUCAAACAAUGUAGAUUGCCUAUUGUUUUCCAAAUAUUUGAUCUAGUUUAUUGUCUCAAACUUUUUUUUUUCGUUAAUUUAAGUUAUUUAUUUCUUUACAUUGUCGGUGUUAGACAAGUGUAUCACUGUAUUGUAACCCUUAUAAUUAGGGUACUCCUUAGAUAUGCGUUCAUUAUUGGAUAGAAACUCAUGAAAUUUAUCAUGACGGUUGACCUACACGUAGAAAUAAAAGGGUAAAACGCAACUUAUCCAAUAGUCAAACAUGGGAGAGGUAAAUCACUAUGUCCCAAAGCAAUGUUUAUGCUUGAACCAGAAACCUCAUUUAUAAAUUGUUACCUCUUUAUUGGUAUGACAAAAUGCAGGGUGCAUGCGAAAAGUAGUUUACACAGGGAAUAGAAAUAAAAGUCUUUAUUUGAAAAUUAAGUCAUGUGGGUGGAGAGAGUUUUGGACCCUGCAUGCGUGCGGAUUACUCGGGUUAUACACAUGACCUUAAUUCAUGGCCUAAUAUGAAGAUCCCAUUUUCUUUUUUCUCACACAUAAAGGGAGUAUAAGGUUAAGCCGAAUGUUAUUGAAAGUAAUAUAAUUUUUUUAAGGAACUGUAAUAAGAGGGAAUUGGAAUAUGAAGAAACUGUAAUGUUGCAUGUUUUGUUGGCAGAGUAGAAACGAAACUUGAUAAUAUAAAUCGAUUAAAUUUUAAACUCACUUAUAAUUA